CCCCGUACACAAAAGCGCAUGUGCUGUGAGCUCGAUGAGUAGGGCGGGACACGUGGUAUCCUGUCUGAAUAUGGGGGGACCAUCCUCCAAGGCUAAAUACUCCUGACUGACCGAUAGUGAACCAGUACCGUGAGGGAAAGGCGAAAAGAACCCCGGCGAGGGGAGUGAAAAAGAACCUGAAACCGUGUACGUACAAGCAGUGGGAGCACCCUUCGGGGUGUGACUGCGUACCUUUUGUAUAAUGGGUCAGCGACUUAUAUUCUGUAGCAAGGUUAACCGAAUAGGGGAGCCGGAGGGAAACCGAGUCUUAACCGGGCGUUAAGUUGCAGGGUAUAGACCCGAAACCCGGUGAUCUAGCCAUGGGCAGGUUGAAGGUUGGGUAACACUAACUGGAGGACCGAACCGACUAAUGUUGAAAAAUUAGCGGAUGACCUGUGGCUGGGGGUGAAAGGCCAAUCAAACCGGGAGAUAGCUGGUUCUCCCCGAAAGCUAUUUAGGUAGCGCCUCGUGAAUUCAUCUCCGGGGGUAGAGCACUGUUUCGGCUAGGGGGCCAUCCCGGCUUACCAACCCGAUGCAAACUGCGAAUACCGGAGAAUGUUAUCACGGGAGACACACGGCGGGUGCUAACGUCCGUCGUGAAGAGGGAAACAACCCAGACCGCCAGCUAAGGUCCCAAAGUCAUGGUUAAGUGGGAAACGAUGUGGGAAGGCCCAGACAGCCAGGAUGUUGGCUUAGAAGCAGCCAUCAUUUAAAGAAAGCGUAAUAGCU
rnacentral:rRNA from 1 species